UUUUCCUUGUAUUUACCUUACUAUUGUAUUGGAGUAUCACAAAAAAAAUCAAAAUUCAAAAAAAAAAAGAAAAAAAGAAGUGAGCAAAAAAAAAGAGUAAAAAAAAGAAGAAAAAAAAGAAGUGAAAAGUCUUGCGAGUAUUAUUUUCAUCUCUUAUUACUCCGAUCAUCAAGUUUCCCUUCCUACCAUUAUUUAUCCAUCCCAACGCCACACUUUAAACCAAUUUUUUCUUUGUUCAGCCUAC
rnacentral:lncRNA from 1 species